rnacentral:rRNA from 1 species
AACGAACGCUGGCGGCAGGCCUAACACAUGCAAGUCGAGCGCGCCCUUCGGGGUGAGCGGCGGACGGGUGAGUAACGCGUGGGAACGUGCCCUUUUCUACGGAAUAGCCUCGGGAAACUGAGAGUAAUACCGUAUACGCCCUUUGGGGGAAAGAUUUAUCGGAAAAGGAUCGGCCCGCGUUGGAUUAGGUAGUUGGUGGGGUAAUGGCCUACCAAGCCGACGAUCCAUAGCUGGUUUGAGAGGAUGAUCAGCCACACUGGGACUGAGACACGGCCCAGACUCCUACGGGAGGCAGCAGUGGGGAAUCUUAGACGAUGGGGGCAACCCUGAUCUAGCCAUGCCGCGUGAGUGAUGAAGGCCUUAGGGUUGUAAAGCUCUUUCAGCUGGGAAGAUAAUGUCGGUACCAGCAGAAGAAGCCCCGGCUAACUCCGUG